UGAUCCGUGUCCAGAUCACUUUAACCUGGCAUUCCUCCCUUUCUGACUGAGCCUGGUAGCAGAACGAGAGAAACCUACAACUACUGGGUGAAGGCUGACUGGAAACUGGAUAGAGUCCUGUCUCAUUCCACUGGGAAACAACAGCAGCAGCAACGAGUGACAGAAAGCAUCUUAAAAUAAAAUAAGCUGCUCUCCUUCCCUUCAGUGGUCACCCUGCUCUCAGGAGGAUGAUGUUGCGUAUGCGCUGUCGCUCCAAGACAAUCUGUCUGUCCUUGGCCUUCAUCACCAUUUUCCUCCACCUCCUGCUGGUGCUUUUCUCUCUUCCCAUUUACCACCAGUCCUGUGACCCCCCACUGCCACCCAGAACACACAUCCUGAGAGACCUGGCACACACUAACUACACCUCUGUGGGGAUCAGUGGUUCAGCUGAGCCACCAACCGAUACCACACAAAGAGCCUCUUCCAAUAAAGAUGCCAAAAAGGAUGCUAAAGGUCGCGUGCAAACACUUUCUGACGUGGGCUUAUCAGUGAAAAAAGGGAAAGACGCCUCAAUGGGCAUGCCAGUCGAUGUGGGUCGCUAUGGCACCAACCAAGCUGAAUCUGUGGAGUCGGGGAUGACAAAGCUGGAGGCGCUGUUUGACCAUCGGUUCUACAAAACGCCCACCCAGCCUAUCGACGAGGAGGACUGGCUGUUAAAAGUGCAACCAAAGGCCAAGGCUAGUGAGAAGAGCUCCCAGGAGUGGGUGAGUGUGAGCCACGCAGACUACAAGGACGGCCAGUGGAACAGCAGCAGUAACAGCCAUCCCCCUUGGCUGCGUUUCCACUUGGGAAUCUCCCGCUGGCAGCUGUACCCCCAUAGUGACCCCAACACGGAGCCGCUGACCCAGCAGCUCGCCAAGCACCGCAUCGUCAGCGCAGUGCAAAAGUCCGGGGGGACACAACUGAAGCUGGUGAUGUCAUUUCCCAACUAUGGACAAGCCAUGUUCAAACCCAUGAAGCAGGAGAGAGAUGAAGAGACCAAUUACAACCUCUAUUACUUCUCAGACUUUGAGAGACACAAUGCAGAAAUCGCAGCUUUUCACCUCGACAGGAUUUUGGGUUAUAGGAGAGUCCCACCAGUGGUAGGGAGGCUGGUGGACGUGGUCAAGGAGAUCAAAGAUGUCACCAACGACCGCAAGCUGGCCAAAACCUUUUUUACGUCCCCCGUGGGAAAUAUGUGUUUCUACGGCCAGUGUUCCUACUACUGUUCAACAGAGCACGCUGUUUGUGGCCGCCCCAGAGAUCUCGAGGCCUCCUUGGCUGUCAUGCUGCCCGAUCUCACCCUGGCGUCCCGCAGGACCUGGAGAUCUCCCUGGAGACGCUCCUACAGCCGCAGCAAGCUGGCAAAGUGGGAGUCAGAACCAGACUACUGUUCAAAGGUGAAAAAGACCCCGCCAUACAACAAAGGCACAAGACUGGUGGACUUCAUAGAUUUGGUCAUACUGGACUUCUUGAUGAGUAACAUGGACAGGCACCAUUAUGAAACCUUUGAGAAGUUUGGCAACAAUACUUUCCUACUACACCUUGACAACGGGAGGGCAUUUGGGCGUCACUCCAAAGAUGAGCCCUCUAUCCUAGCUCCUCUAGAACAAUGUUGCAGAAUCCGUCGCUCCACCUGGCAACGCCUGCGUCUACUGUCUCUGCCACUGUAUCGUCUUAGUGAUGUCAUGAGGGCCUCGCUCUCCCAUGAUCCCCUUCACAGUGUGGCUCCACUGCUGUCGGAGCCUAACCUCGCUGCUCUCGAUCGGCGCUUGAAAACUGUGCUGGAGACUGUACGUCGUUGCCAAAAUAGACAGAGUGAAGAUGGUGGUGAUGAUGACGUCUUCUAUGAUGACAUUACCUAAUUGAAAGACAUGGUCACACCUGCUGGGUAGGACAGUCUGUCUGUACUUCCCAUAUGUUAUUUGUACAUGAUUACCUUUCACACUAGCACAUGCAAAAUGGUGUUAGCAGUUACAUUGGACACAUUCCAAGGACAUAUUCCAAGUUAAAGUAAAACAGGUUGUUUAACGGGUCAUUUGAAAAUUUGAGUUUGAGUUAAGUCAUUUGAGCCGCUGAUGUAAUGGUGUCCUAGGAAAAUGUCUUUUAGAAUUUCAGCAUCCAAAAAUUCAUGAUGUUUUGAAAGUUGUAAGAGUUUAUAGUUUAUAGAGUUUAUUAACGUUUAUACUUAUGUUGGUAUGCAACAAUGGAAUGGAUAGUUGGUCAAAUAUUUAAUGCAAUUUUUAAACUUUUGGACACUUGUACCAUAUCCUAGGAAGUAUUAUCAAGUAUUGGAAAUUCAAUUUUGAAAUAAAAAAAGUUUAUUUACAUUUUAAAGGUCCCAUGACAUGC